CAGACUAAAAAACUAGCGAAGAAGAAGGUUUCCAUAGCAACCGUCAUGGGAACCGGAAGUGGCGUAGGGCGGGGGACGCUGAGAUUUUGAAUGGAAGUCAACUCUGUAGCGCUUCUCAAGGAGGUGAUGAACAAAAAUGAGGAUUGGGUGGAAAGACUCAACUCGGAAUUGAACAAUUGCGUUCUAGAGAUGAAACCGUAUGUCCUCAAACACCCCAACAAGACUGAGCGUCAGCACUGCGCCCUGUGGAUAAAGAAGCUGUGCGACCCGGCAACAUGCGGCUCAAGUCUUCCGGGUCACAAGAACCGAAAUCUGCACGCCCGUUUGCUUCUUCACAUGCUUAAACGAGGCGUCCUGGAAGGCCCGUUUGCCAGCAGACCACAUGCCGGCAGCCUCAAGACACUUCCCGCGUACAUGUCCAUUUACUUUGACGAGCCACUGAUUGGUCGGCCCGUGGACCACAGCAAAGCGACUCUGCCCGCCUGGGUGGCGGGAGAGCUGGGCGACUGCGCCGAUGACAGUUUGGGUGCCGCCCUGCUGAAGGACAGAACCACUUCCACGCCAAAUGCUGCUUUUACCAGGGCCAGCCAUUUGAAUGAGGAGAAGACCCCACGAGGAGAGAGCGCCUCCAGCCCACGCAAGUCCUCACCCAGACAUGAAGGCAGAGCGGGGGAUGCGGGGCAGAUGUCUCCCGACGACGGCGACCCGGGGGCACGACUCAACAGCUGGAACCUGGAGUUCGAGAACCCGAGGUACUUGCGAGAAAAAACUAUGCCCCUGUCGCCGCUUUUCAAGUCCAGCCUGGUAAGGAACAGCGCCUUGACUGAUGAUGUGGACUUGCAGCUUCUGGAGAGCAAGGAGGUCGACAUGAGGGUGAAAGUUUUGGAGUCCAAGCAUCAGGAGGAGAAACUAAAACAGCAGCAGAAACACGAUGCAGAUGUCGACAAAAUUCUGCAGCGACGGAAUGUGGAGAUUAGCGAGUUGAAGAGUCGACAUCGGGCCCAGCUGAAGGAAGCCGAGGAGAUGAUCCACAAACUGGAGUGGAAAGUUCAAAGUGUGCUGAAGGAAUCCCAGGUCAUCUGCGAGAGCAAAGACGAGCAGAUUGCCGAGCUGAAGAAGAUGACAGAUCAGAGCGCCGACUGCUUGAAAAAUGAGUGGGAGAAGAAGCUGCACGCAGCGGUGGCCGAGGUGGAGAAGGAGAAGUUUGAAUUGCGGAAGAAGCACACCGACGACAUCCAGGAGCUGCUGGAGAACACCAAGAUGAGGCUGGUGAAGAUGGAGGCCGAGUAUAACGCUCGGUCACAAUCCACCGUGCAAACGGCCCGCGAGCUGGAGCAGCAAGUGAAAAAGCAGCGUGCCGACGUGGAGAAGAGCAACGCGUCGCUUCAGAAGGUCACGCAGGAGAAGGCCCAGCUGGAGAGCCGCCUUGCGGCCGUCGCUGCCCAACUGCAGGAGGCCAACAGAAGAAUGACGGUCCUCCAGAAAGAGGAGGCUGAGCAGAGCGCGUUGUUUGAGGAGACUUUGCAGAAGUUCCAAGCCAAACACGAGGCCGAUUUGAACCAUUUACACCAGGAGCACGCUCUGUCUGCCGCCAAGGCCUCUGAGGUGAUGGAGCACUUUGAGAAAAGUAUUGCUCAGCUCAAUCAGCAGCUCCUGGUCAGUGAACAUCAGAGACAGACACAAGUUCGGGAUCGGGAUUUGAAGUUCCGGGAGGAAAAAGAUGAGCUGCAGAUCAACUAUGACAAAAAGGUUCUGGCGCUGCACAAUGAGGUGGAGAAAGAGAGAACACAGUCCAAGAGGAAGAUAGCCAAACUAGAGGAUGCACUCAGAGACGCGGCGAACCGGCUGGACCGAACCACAGAGAGCCAUCGUGUGCGCCUCCGACAGGCCGACACGGCGCUGGAGCAAUUCAGGAGGCGGGUGAAGCUCAGCUCCGAGAAGGCCGAGGCUGAACUCAAGCUCCAGAUGGAGAAGGUGGAGGAGGACCUGCAGCACUCCAGGUGUCUCCGUGAAAAUCAGUCCAAGGAGUUCUCGCUACAACUCGACACCCUCCGACAAAAAUACGAGCAGCAGAUGGCUGAGCAGCGCGUGCAGCACGAGCAGGAGAGGACGCGCCUGCAACAGCAGCAUUGCGCCGACAAGGACAGCCUGGUCCAGGAGCGCCAGCGGGAGGUGAGCAGCCUGGAGAGCCAGGCGAGGGCCGCCCUGCAGACGCACCAGCGGCACACCCGGGAGGGGAGGAAGCGUGACGGCCAGACAAUUUCGGAGUUGGAGGCCCAGUUGUCGUGUUUGCGCGAGGAGCUCCAGGCGGCCGGCGUCCAGCACGAGCAACAGCUGGCCGAGAUGGCCGCGCUCCGCGAGGAGGGAAAGCAAAGGGCUCACCUGGACAGAGAGACGCUCCGCUGCGACACGGAACGCAUCGUCCGUGACUUUAAGAGAAGGCACCAGCAGGAGAAGGAAGCGGCCGAAGAGAAGACCAACAGCAGGUUGAAGCACAUUGAGAAGGAGUACAGCCAGACGCUUGCCAGGUCUGCACAGAUAAUUGCGGAGCUCCAACAGUCGGUGCGCAGCUGGAAGGAGGAAGCCGUCGGUCUGCAGCAGGCGAUGAAGAGGCAGCGGGAGGAGGCCAACGAUCGAUGGGCGCAAGACAGGAGAAAUCUAACCCGGCGGGCCGAGCAGGCCGACAAGUUUUCUGCGAGGACAUCGGAUCCUCCCGCAUCGCGCCGGACCGUUUCCCAAUGAUCCCAGCCCGCAUGGCAGAUAACGAGCGUAUCGCUCCGAGCAUCUGGACGAGCUUAACCGCAAUCCUCCGCACGCACACAGUACAAUCAGACAUUGAACUGCUUGAGUUUCAAUACAAAAUUGGGGCAUUGUAAAACUUCGGACCCACUUCAUGCCAGCGACGAAUGGCAAGCGGUAAUGAAAUGCUCUUGCAGAAGAACACCAAAAACACGUCAGACAUACAAGAGAAUCAUUUUGUGAGUAGAUCAACUUUUUGUCAAAGCGGGAGCUCGCAAUUCGCGGCUCCCAAGCAAAAUGGCUUCCAUCUUCUCCAGUGAUGUCAUUUCUAUAAAACUAUCAAACGAAACUGGCUGCCAUGUUUUUAUUCCAUCUGUUUUUUUGUGAGCAUGUUUGCGUGAUCAAACAUAAUAAUGCUUUUAGUGUCUAUAAAAAGUUGUUUUCGGGCACGGCUUCAAAACGAGGCCAAGCAGACGACGGCCAGCAAAAGUCGUCAGUCUUGUCCUUACCUCGUUUCCCCCCGCCCCCGAUUCCGAGACGGCGGCUCUUUGGCUGCAUCCGCGCUACUAACCUGUUUGGGCGCCACCAAUGUUUGCAAGCUGUUAGUCCCCGUAUCGCUUUUUGACACACGCCACCGCCGUGGUUUGUUUUAUCUGGCGCAGGUGUUUCGGUUUGAAGAUUGGCACGAUGGCUUUGCGUGAUAACGACGCCGUCUUCCCGCCGUGGCAGUUUUAGCUGUGUAAAAAAAAACUCCAACUUUGGUGGAAUUUGCUCAUAAUCUUUGCGGGCGCCACCGAUGUUUACAAACUGUCAGUCAACCUUUCACUUUACGUGGCACGUAAAACGACGCCCUGAAGCUGCCGCCGUCCGACUGUUUGAUGUGCCGUGCCGUGCCGUGCCGUGGUAGCAUUAUCGCUUUGAAGCUUUGAGAAAGGAAUUUGCGUAAUAACGACGCUGUAUUGCCGCCAAUGCAGCUGCCAGGCAAAGGUUGUAAAACUGGUGAAACGGGGAGUUUUGCUCUGCUGCACCUCGUCGGCAACUUUUUCGAUGGCACGAGCUUGGUUGCGUGACGCUGAUGACAUCACUUUUUCCUCAUGAAAAUCUUCUUUUCCUUUGGGCUCGUCCCUUUAGGGGUCGCCGCAGCGCGCCGUACUUUUCCAUGUAAGCGUCCUUUUCUCCUGCAUCCUCCUCUGGAACACCAAGUGCCCUCAUGUCUUCCCUCACGACAUCCAUCGACCUUCUCUUUGGUCUUCCUCUCGCUCUCUUGCCUGGCAGCUCCAUCCUCAUCAUCCUUCUACCAAGAUACUGACUCUCUCUCCUCUGGACGUGUCCAAACCAUCCAAGUCUGCUCUCUCUAACUUUGUCUCCAAAACAUCUCACCUCGGCCGUCCCUCCGAUGGGACUCAUUUCUAAUUUGAUCCAACCUGGUCACUCCGAGAGCGAACCUCAACAUCUUCAUUUCCGCCACCUCCAGCUCUGCUUCCUGUUGUCUCUUCAGUGCCACUGUCUCUACUCCGUCCAUCAUGGCCGGCCUCACCACUGUCUUCUAAACUUUGCUGCCCUUGAUCCUAGCAGAGACUCUUCUGUCACAGAACACACCUGACACCUUCCUCCACCCGUUCCGACCUGCUCGGACCCGUUUCUUCACUUCCUGACCACACUCCCCAUUGCUCUGGACGGUUGACCCCAAGUAUCUAAAGUCCUCCACCCUUGCUAUCUCUUCUCCCUGUCGCCUCACUCUCCCCCCACCACUUCUCUCAUUCAUGCACAUAUAUUCUGUCUUACUUGGGCCCAUCUUCAUUCCUCUGCAUUCCAGUGCAUGCCUCCAACUUUCGAACUGUUCCUCCAGCUGCUCCCUGCUUUCAGUGCAGCUCACAAUGUCAUCUGCAAACAUCAGUCUAACCUCAUCUGUCAGCGUGUCCAUCACCACUGCAAACAGGAAGGGGCUCAGGGCCGAUCCCUGAUGCGGUCGCACCUCCACCUUAAAUUCGUCUGUCACACCUACAGCACACCUCACCGCUGUUCUGCUGCCCUCGUACAUGUCCUGUAUUAUUCUACCAGACGUCCGCAUGCAGUAGCACAGCUCCUCUCUGGGUACUCUGUCAUAGGCUUUCUCGAGAUCUACAAAGACACAAUGGAGCUCCUUCUGACCUUCUCUGUACUUUUCCAUCAACAUCCUCAAGGCAAAUAAUGCAUCUGUGGUACUCUUUCUAGGCAUGAAACCAUACUGUUGCUCGCAAAUACUCACUUCUGUCCUGAGUCAGAAGUCUCAGCCUCCACUACUCUUUCCCAUAACUUCAUUGUGUGGCAGUAGACGUUGCACUUUAUCUUCUUUUUUAAAUGAUCAAAUGAUCCCACACUUUUUGGACAUUGUCUUUCUUUGAUGGCACUCUUUGUUCCCGUCACGCACUUGCAAGGUUGUUAGUUUGAGGCGCAUCUGUUGGUUGAAUUUCACGGAAUGUUCCACCUAACGGACGAGCUGUCCCGCGUCUCAGUUGCCGCAAUCCUCGCAACUCCUCCUCGAUGUUUUUCGGUGAAACGCAGCCUUUGAUUCCCGAUAAACAAAAUAGAAUGAUGAAAUCGCCGGCAACGGUGGUAGCGACGUGGACAGCGAUGGCGAGCGUCUGCAAAGUGGCCUGAUUAAGAAGAUCAAGACGGGAAACGGCAGCUCUUUUUUUUUCCAUGUUGUCUGUUGAUCUGCGAAUGAUUCGCCGCGAGUUUCGAGCUCUCCGUUGCAUGAGAGGAAGGACAGCAGGCACGGUGUGUGUGUGUGUGUGUGUGUGUGUUUUUAAUGGUUUUCUAAUGAUCAAAGACCGUGAUGGCGCACGGAAAGAGAAAAUGUCAUGUCACAAACUGGGACUCGCAACAAAUGUGCCGUCUGCUUUUCGUUUUGCCCUUCAAACAAGUACAGCGCAACGAAAUUCAAACGGCGUAAAGAUUGUACAAAUCGGGAGUUUCAACUCCAUUUUCGGGAACAGUUGGCCGCAAAUAUUCAGUGAGAUGAAAAUGGACGGAUGGAUGUGUUUCGGGCUGUUUGGUGAUGCCACCACAGACGGGCAAAGAGGAAAACAGGAAAUGGAUGCUCUGCACAAUAGGAGCAAUACAAUGAAUUCAGUAUCAAUUAAGCGGAUAAAUGUAUUUGUAAAUCUGCACACAAACAACACGAGGGGACAGAAACAUCUUUCUGUCUUUAGAAGGUGAGUUCCUUUCUUUUGUUUUCGUUUUAUUUAGUUGUAUUAUGCAGCGAUUCUCAAAAUGUGUUUUUUUUUUAAACUCCCUCUAGUGGUAUCCAAAAGAAUCACCGCCUAAUCGCGCUUCAACUGUAUUUCACUUUUAAAAUCUAAAUAUUUGAAAUGAGUGUUGAAGAACAGCUUGUUUGUAAGCAUUUAGUUCAUUUUUUAUAUGAAGAUUUUAUGCGUAAUAUCGUUGAAGUCAAGAUUUGUUUUUCCUAUAAAUGUUGAUAUUCAAACUGUGCACAAUGUUAGAGUGGCUUCAAAUAUGAAAAUUGCUAUUCAGGAAGAAAACUUGUCAUCGUGUCCUUCCUGGAACGCGGCCUUCGGGUUGUCGUCGUCGUCGUCGUCGUCAUCUUCCGUACACGUGGGCCUCAAAUGGCUUUCGUUUUUUUGUAAAUGUUCGGAAUUAAUAAUGUUCCUGUGUGCGUAUCGGAGUACGUUUUGUUUUCUCAUGACCUCGCCUAGCUGGGCCAAAGUUUGAAGUAUCGGUUCUUUCUCCAGUAGUAGCGGACAAACAAACCGCUGCGUGGUUUUGUCAAGAGCGGAACCCGCGAAAUGUGCGACGCGUUGGCGAACGGCGGGCAAAGGGAGGGGGGAUGAAACGCCGACAAACGCCGAUGGCUUCAUGUCUGUCCGAAUGAUGCGUAAAACAAAAUUCAAGAAAGGGACAACAACUUUCUCACGCGAACUAACUUUUCUACACUAUUCCGAUUUAUUGACAUACACCUUUGUUAACCGUGAAAGUUCAAAAGACGCAUCGUCGCGCGGUCGCUGCCCGUUUUGCGUUCCGGGAAGCGCGAGAAAUCAGCUCGCACCUGGCCUCACUCGUCUCACUGAGCGACGACGGAGGUCAGUGAUGCUCGUGACGCCCCGCCCCUCACACGCUUGUUGCUACGUGUGUGCGCGUGUGCCUUGCACUCUCCAAAAUCCAAGCCGACGUGUCCACAUGCGCGUUCCAAACGUCUGCUUUUGGGCUCCACGCACAAUCGGCACCAUUCUUUCCGUUCACGCAAACAACGCAUUCAUGACUUUCUUUCCUCUCCGUCCUUUUUUUCUCUUCUUUUCUUGUCGGAUUCUUUAAAAGAGGCAAAUUGAGCCUCCAGAUGGGAAAUGUAAUCAACUUAAUGCCCCGCUUCUAUUGCCUCCAAAUAUAAACAGAUAACAAUUCCAUUAACGAUCGGCUCGGCGACGCCUGCGAAGGUUUGCUGAUCCCCAGAGCGAGAAAGUCUCGGCUGUGGUCUUUUAACAAUGAGGUCAGCUUUGCCGUAAUGACUGUUGUGACAUAAUUAGGAGCCGUCAACACGGGGAGCAAUUGGGUUUGAUCGCAAAAUAGACGUGCUUUGACGCCAAUCGGCUAACUCCUGUCCAACUUUGUGCAAACUGUUUGGGGAAAGCCCUUUUCUUUUCAAGCGUGACGGCGCUUAGAUAAGUUCGCAGCGCUAAAACCCGAGAGUCCUGAUCUGUGAAGCCGGGCCAUCUCGUCCACAAUCUUGUACAAAGUCUUCCCUGAGGAGAGGAGGCACGUUUCUUUUGUUUCCACUUCCUGUCUGGAUUGUUAUUGCGAGCAGCCUAAUGUGACCGCGGGAAAGGACUAAGCGGCGGCAGCCCCCAAAACGCUGACUGGAGUGUCCGUAGCAGUACGCACCCAAGUCACUCAAAACCAACCUAUAAUGAAUGAUAACACACAACAAACAUCGGGAGAGUUUGUUGUUUUCCUGCAUUGCAAUUCCAAAGCCGGCGGCCGAUGUUCAGCUGCUCACGAGAACUAGUUGCCGAACAGUUUAGUCGCUUUGCAUCGCUCGGUGCGCGGUGCGCCUUGGUGGGAAAAAAAUGCUUGCAAAGAUGUCUCAAAAAGUAAAGAAAAUUGUAAUUGUGGAACAGAUUUUCAACCUUUUUUUUUUUUUUUUUUUUUUUAAAUCCAUUUAUCAAGCAACGUUGAUGUUGUUGCACUCUAUUUACUUGAGUGGGCCACAAACAAAUGGAUGCGGCGGGCAGGAUGUGGCCCCCGGGCCUUGAGUUUGACAAAUGUGUUUUCGGAGCGCCCGUCUGCGAUUUUUGCCAGCCGCCUGCUUCGUCUUUCCUCGCCGUCCUCACCGCGUGGGUCCCGCGCUCGCCUCGAGCCGACGGCGCUCACCGUCUUCUGCCUUC